rnacentral:rRNA from 1 species
UGGGGAAUAUUGCACAAUGGGGGAAACCCUGAUGCAGCGACGCCGCGUGAACGAAGAAGGUAUUCGUAUCGUAAAGUUCUGUCCUAUGGGAAGAUAAUGACAGUACCAUAGAAGAAAGCUCCGGCUAAAUACGUGCCAGCAGCCGCGGUAAUACGUAGGGAGCGAGCGUUGUCCGGAAUUAUUGGGCGUAAAGGGUACGCAGGCGGUUUAAUAAGUCGAAUGUUAAAGAUCGGGGCUCAACCCCGCAAAGCAUUGGAAACUGAUAAACUUGAGUAGUGGAGAGGAAAGUGGAAUUCCUAGUGUAGUGGUGAAAUACGUAGAUAUUAGGAGGAAUACCAGUAGCGAAGGCGACUUUCUGGACACAAACUGACGCUGAGGUACGAAAGCGUGGGGAGCAAACAGG